CUCCUCUCAGGAUCACCCCUGGAGAGUUUCCAGUACUCUCCCAGUCUUGACUACGGGAGGGAGAGUCCAGCAGAGGCAUAUCUAUUCCAUUCCUAGCUUGGGCAGUGGUUAGUGAAUGGAAGGCAAACUGCUACAAGU
rfam:Ornithorhynchus anatinus chromosome X2, whole genome shotgun sequence.